GGUGGAAGUCCUGAUAAGUAAGAGGUUCCAGUUGCAGCCCAAAGUGCCAAGGCCGGUUCUCAGCUGCUGGUGGUUUAUGUUGGCUGGCUGAUAUUAGUUCCUCCAGGAGGCAGCUGCUAAUUACAGUAAAUAGCACCACUAUCUCAUCAGAUUGGGGGAGUUAUACUGAUUUAGUCCUUCCCUGCUACAUCAACAGCAUUCAACAAUACAGUGAUCAUUGGUGACAAUAACUGAGCUGAAUGGAAGGCAGCUCCUUCCAGCUGUCUGCUGAGGAGUGCCUUGUCCAGUGGAGCUGUUCUGCUUCUUCCUGAGAGCCUGCAUGGCAUCAGUGAAGUUUUCAGCAAUGCUGGGUGGAAAUGGAUUCUGUAAGAAUAAGCCUUUGCUCUCUCAGAUAUGAUGGAAUACCUUCUCCUGCUGGCUGGAUUUGGACCCUCUGCUCGGGCUGUGACAGCCACGUUGUUCCACACUCAGUGCCACUGUGACUGCCAGACUUCCAGCACGAGUAAGAGAACCUGCUUAAAAACAACUGUAUGCACUUCAUUUUUCCCUUUCAGAGGUUAUAUCUGGUUACUGUGUGACUGGAACAAUGAGACUAACCUCAGUUUUACUGUAACAAAGCAGCUAUGAGCUUUCUGGGUAAAGUAUAUUUUGACUGACAUACAAGUAGCUGUAGCUGUGCUGCACAAUGGAGAAAAUGACUUCAUUUAACAGCUUUCUGUGCCAAGAAAGAAAUAAAACAGUUCUGAGAAUGUUGAAGAUUUUUUUCCUGUUUUAAUUUUAAACCUAAAAGAAAAAGCUGUUGCCAUAUAAGUCCAAGUCAAUGGAAUGUAUAAAUCUUUAA